GAACCCCUCACAGCCCAGCACACAGUGAUAAGGGUCAAAUCUCUCAGGAUUGUCACGCAGAUCCUGCCGUGUGUGUCCCCAUCUGACACUUUUCCCAUCCUCAGACAGGACGAGUUCAGGAUGAGCCGUGUCUGGAUCAAGAGUCAC